UAGGGAAUCUUCCGCAAUGGACGCAAGUCUGACGGAGCAACGCCGCGUGAGUGAAGAAGGAUUUCGGUUCGUAAAACUCUGUUGUUAGAGAAGAACAGCGCAUAGAGUAACUGUUAUGCGUGUGACGGUAUCUAACCAGAAAGCCACGGCUAACUACGUGCCAGCAGCCGCGGUAAUACGUAGGUGGCAAGCGUUGUCCGGAUUUAUUGGGCGUAAAGCGAGCGCAGGCGGUCAAUUAAGUCUGAUGUGAAAGCCCCCGGCUCAACCGGGGAGGGUCAUUGGAAACUGGUUGACUUGAGUGCAGAGGAGGAGAGUGGAAUUCCAUGUGUAGCGGUGAAAUGCGUAGAUAUAUGGAGGAACACCAGUGGCGAAGGCGACUCUCUGGUCUGUAACUGACGCUGAGGCUCGAAAGCGUGGGUAGCAAACAGG
rnacentral:rRNA from 1 species